rnacentral:tRNA from 1 species
GGAGAGGUGACCGAGUGGCUGAAGGCGCUGCUCUCGAAAAGCAGUAAGGGUUCACGCCCUUCGAGGGUUCGAAUCCCUCCCUCUCC